GAUGAAGAACGUAGCGAAAUGCGAUAAGUAAUGUGAAUUGCAGAAUUCAGUGAAUCAUCGAAUCUUUGAACGCACAUUGCGCCCGCCAGUAUUCUGGCGGGCAUGCCUGUCCGAGCGUCAUUUCAACCCUCAAGCCCCCGGGCUUGGUGUUGGAGAUCGGUGAGCCCCCCGGGGCGCGCCGUCUCCCAAAUAUAGUGGCGGUCCCGCUGUAGCUUCCUCUGCGUAGUAGCACACCUCGCACUGGGAAACAGCGUGGCCACGCCGUAAAACCCCCCACUUCUGAAAGGUUGACCUCGGAUCAGGUAGGAAUACCCGCUGAACUUAAGCAUAUCAAUAAGCGGAGGA
rnacentral:misc_RNA from 1 species